rnacentral:rRNA from 1 species
CCUACGGGAGGCAGCAGUAGGGAAUCUUUCACAAUGGGCGAAAGCCUGAUGGAGCAACGCCGCGUGCAGGAUGAAGGCCUUCGGGUUGUAAACUGCUUUUAUAAGCGAGAAAUAUGAUGGUAACUUAUGAAUAAGGAUCGGCUAACUACGUGCCAGCAGCCGCGGUCAUACGUAGGAUCCGAGCAUUAUCCGGAGUGACUGGGUGUAAAGAGUUGCGUAGGUGGCAUAAUAAGUAGCUAGUGAAAUCUGGUGGCUCAACCAUUCAGACUAUUAGCUAAACUGUUAAGCUCGAGACCGUUAGAGGUAACGGGAAUUUCUAGUGUAGGAGUGAAAUCCGUAGAUAUUAGAAGGAACACCAAUAGCGUAGGCAGGUUGCUGGGACGGUUCUGACACUAAGGCACGAAAGCGUAGGGAGCAAACGGGAUUAGAUACCCCAGUAGUC